rnacentral:rRNA from 1 species
AGAGUUUGAUCCUGGCUCAGGACGAACGCUGGCGGCGUGCUUAACACAUGCAAGUCGAAGGAAAGGCCCCUUCGGGGGUACUCGAGUGGCGAACGGGUGAGUAACACGUGGGUGAUCUCCCUGCACUUCGGGAUAAGCCUGGGAAACUGGGUCUAAUACCGGAUAGGACCCCUCUUUGUGUGGGGGGUGGAAAGUUUUUUCGGUGUGGGAUGAGCCCGCGGCCUAUCAGCUUGUUGUGGGGUAAUGGCCUACCAAGGCGUCGACGGGUAGCCGGCCUGAGAGGGUGGACGGCCACUUGGGACUGAGAUACGGCCCAGACUCCUACGGGAGGCAGCAGUGGGGAAUAUUGCACAAGGGCGGAAGCCUGAUGCAGCGACGCCGCGUGGGGGAUGACGGCCUUCGGGUUGUAAACCCUUUCGCUAGGGACGAAGCUUUUGUGACGGUACCUAGAUAAGAAGCACCGGCUAACUACUGCCAGCAGCCGCGGUAAUACGUAGGGUGCGAGCGUUGUCCGGAAUUACUGGGCGUAAAAGCUCGUAGGUGGUUUGUCGCGUCGUCUGUGAAAUUCCGGGGCUUAACUUCGGGCGUGCGGCGAUACGGGCAAUACUUGAGUGCUGUAGGGGAGACUGGAAUUCCUGGUGUAGCGGUGAAUGCGCAGAUAUCAGGAGGAACACCGAUGGCGAAGGCAGGUCUCUGGGCAGUAACUGAGCUGAGGAGCGAAAGCAUGGGUAGCGAACAGGAUUAGAUACCCUGGUAGUCCAUGCCGUAACGGUGGGCGCUAGGUGUAGGGGUCUUCCACGACUUCUGUGCCGUAGCUAACGCAUUAGCGCCCCGCCUGGGGAGUACGGCCGCAGGCUAAACUCAAAGGAAUUGACGGGGGCC